rnacentral:rRNA from 1 species
CGCGGGUGAGUAACACGUAUCCAACCUGCCGUCUACUCUUGGCCAGCCUUCUGAAAGGAAGAUUAAUCCAGGAUGGCAUCAUGAGUUCACAUGUCCGCAUGAUUAAAGGUAUUUUCCGGUAGACGAUGGGGAUGCGUUCCAUUAGAUAGUAGGCGGGGUAACGGCCCACCUAGUCUACGAUGGAUAGGGGUUCUGAGAGGAAGGUCCCCCACAUUGGAACUGAGACACGGUCCAA